rnacentral:snRNA from 1 species
GUGCUUACUUUAGCAGUACAUAUUCAAAAAUUGGAAUGAGACAGAGAUUAGCAUAAUCCCCAUAUAAGGAUGGCACUCAAAUUUGUGAAGUAUUUCAUAUUUGA